rnacentral:rRNA from 1 species
GAUGAACGCUAGCGGCAGGCCUAAUACAUGCAAGUCGAGGGAGAAUGUUGGAUUCGUCUGACAUGAAACCGGCGCACGGGUGCGUAACACGGAUGCAACCUACCUUUAACUGGGGUAUAGCUCAGAGAAAUCUGAAUUAAUCCCCCAUAAGACUACGACAUGGCAUCAUGAUGUAGUUAAAGCGCCGGCGGUUAAGGAUGGGCAUGCGGUACAUUAGCUAGUUGGUGAGGUAAUGGCUCACCAAGGCUACGAUGUAUAGGGGGUCUGAGAGGAUGAUCCCCCACACUGGUACUGAGACACGGACCAGACUCCUACGGGAGGCAGCAGUAGGGAAUAUUGGUCAAUGGACGCAAGUCUGAACCAGCCAUGCCGCGUGAAGGAUGAAGGCCCUAUGGGUCGUAAACUUCUUUUAUUAGGGAAGAAAAAACGGGAUGCGUCCUGUACUGACGGUACUUAAUGAAUAAGGAUCGGCUAACUUCGUGCCAGCAGCCGCGGUAA